rnacentral:rRNA from 1 species
CCCUGCCCUUUGUACACACCGCCCGUCGCUACUACCGAUUGAAUGGCUCAGUGAGGCCUUCGGACUGGCGCCGGAGGGUUGGCAACGACCCCCCAGCGCCGGAAAGUUGGUCAAACUCGGUCAUUUAG